rnacentral:rRNA from 1 species
UAGGGAAUCUUCCACAAUGGGCGAAGCCUGAUGGAGCAACGCCGCGUGAGUGAAGAAGGGUUUCGGCUCGUAAAACUCUGUUGUUAAAGAAGAACAUAUCUGAGAGUAACUGUUCAGGUAUUGACGGUAUUUAACCAGAAAGCCACGGCUAACUACGUGCCAG